AAGCAAUUAUGACAAUUUACUAGACGCACUCUCUCAAGCUACGCUAGCUCGAUUCGCAUUACAGUUCACUUAGAUCGCACCCGAGGUAUCGUUAUCUCUAAUCCAACCUCUAAAUCCUCGGUUAUGACUCUCGUCUAUACUCCGGGAGUGGUGUUGUUCAAACAACUACCUAAAUAUGUAUUAUCUCUCCAGCAGAUACAUCUUAUCUCUAAUCCAACCUCUAAACCCGCGGUUAUAACUCUCGCUUAUACUCCAGGAGUGAUGUUGUUCAAACAACUUCCUAAAUAUGCACUUUCUCAAGCAGAUAUAUAAUAAAUAGGAACGGCUAAUUGAAGAUCCUUUCAAUUAACCAAAAUCAAAACGUAGUUGAAACAAAUAGAGAUUAACAACCAACUCAAAACUAUAUUAAUAUAACACCAAAUUCAUCCCCAAUGGGUUUCACCAAAACCUUAGAUAAAAAAUUAGCUAUUCAUAAUAGUAUGUAAAACUACAAUAUCAAAAGUCAUAACCAACAUUGAAAAAUAAGAAGAGGAAGGAAAAACUUGUUGAAGUAUUCCCUGCCUUGCUCUUAUUGCGUCUCUGCCUCCUUAGGUCAAAUAUGUGUCAAAAAUAUGUCUAACUCCCCAAAAAUACCAUUUUUCCAUGUAUAUAUAUACUAAGUAGGGUCGGGCCCAAAUAAUUAUACCUUCUCCUAUAUGAAAAAGGACAAUAUUUCACGUCUGGACUGCCUCGGCCGCGGUGACGACCGCGGAAGGCACUGUCUCAAACCGUGGCGCGGACCGUGGUGACAACCAUGGUGAAAUUUCUACCGCAUUUUUCACUCUGUUAUGUUUAGAAUUUGAAAAAACGUAAAACAUAAAAGUUGUAACCCUUUAAGUUAAAUUUCUAACCAUAUAAUGUGGAGCUCAAAUGGAGGUAUAAAAAAAAGUUAUGUCUAUUUUAUUAGACAGUGCAUAAUAUACCUCCUCGAGUCUUUGUUCGUACUUAAUUAUCAAAUUGACCUUUGAACCCGAUCCCAGCUUAAUUUCUUGAGCUCUUACUCAGAUUUCAAAGAUUCAAAUCACUUCAUUUCAUUCUAUAACUUCUAUAUAACUCGAAAUCACACCUACAAAGCAUAAAACACACUCUUAGUGCAAAACAGUAGUGAUUAAAGCGCAAACUCAACUAAAGUACAAUAAAUUAAAGUGUUAUAAGGUGUUUAUGAUUCCUGUUUUGGCCGAGGGGCUAUUUACGAACUAUGUUUUGCCCGAAGGGGCUGAUUAUGGUUUUUAUCUCUUUUAUUAUAAAUGGUAUCGUACCCCUACUGAAACUGUUGGAAGGUAUUUCAAAUGAUUUUUACCAAAAGCUGUAUUUUGAAUGAGACGAUUGACUCAUAUUCUGAUUUGAUAGCCUGUUGUACUUAUUUAGCUUAUCAUAAAUGUGGAUUCAUCAUUUUCUACUGUUCAAUAUUUAUUUACUCUUAUUACUUACUGGGUUGGAGUAAUCACAUUACUCCCUGCACCUCGUGUGCAAAUUUAGGUAUUUCUCAACCCAGUAGUGGGUGUUGGUUGCUUAGACGCGGAAUCAUCAGAGUUAGCUAACUCGUUGGCUGCACGACGUUCGCAGCACUGCCUCCUUCCUCUCAUUUUGUUACUGUAUUUAGUAUAUUUUUAGACUCUUAAUGUAUUCAGACCUUGGUAGAUGCUCAUAGCUAGUGACACCCUGAUGUCAAUCUUGUAUAUUAUUUCCAUACUGUUUCUUUAGACUUAUGCUAUGAAACAUUUUGUUUUAAUUAAAGGCUUAAAUGACUCUUAAUUACUAAAGGGUUAAUAUGAGUGUCGUUUUGGCUGGCCUAGUCAUUACGAGAGGUGCCAUCAUGACCGAGCCGGUUUGGGAUCGUGACAUAAGUAUGUUAGAGUGUGUCCUCCCAAAGUGAAAGAAUCUCCCUUUAUAGAAGAGAGAAGAACUUGAAUUAUUAUUACCAAUAUAUCCAAAGGACAUGUUUUCACCAAAAAUAUGUCCAAACUAUUUAAAGGACAGAUUUUUUGGUCAAAAAUCUGUUCAAAGGAUAAACUUUUAUCAACUAUGAAAAAUAUUCAGAGUAUUGUACUCCAAAUAGUCUAUAAACAGUAAAAAGUAAACCAAACAUGUAGCCUACUUCAUCAUUUACCUUUACCCUUCACAAACUAAUAUCAAACAAACUAACCAAUUCAAACCAAUGUAAAAAUAGAAAAUUCAGCAUUCAACUUAGCCAAUUAAACUAGUGCUGAUAUUACCAAUCCAGGGGAAAAAUCUACGAUUAGGCAGAACACGUAUUAUAGUGAAGUAAUUAAUCACAACAUAACUAACUAAGCGUAGAAAUAAAAAAAUAAUAUAAGAAGUAAUGGAUCGAGCUUUAUCAGUACUUAAAUCUAAACAAACUAACGAAUCAAAUAAGAAAAUAAAAAAUCUGAGACAAAGAAAAGAGGUUUAGGAAUUUUACCCAACUCGAACACUCGGGCAACAGCGGGAUAGAAGUGUUAGAUCCCAAGCAAGCUCUUAUUGUUGAUAAACACCAAAACAUUUGAAGUUUAGAGAAAUGAAGUUCGAUAUCGGUGUAGUCACCAAUAAAAUCUCGCUCGAGGUCGGAAUACAUACAAAAAGACGAAGAUUGAGUGCGUUUUAGUGGUUGCCGACAUCGGAUCGACAAUGGGGUGGCAAGACGGCAGCUUCGAUGGAGAUCGGGUGAAAAUCAAUAUGAAAAGAUAGCCCCCUUCUGAGCUCUAUCUAUGUAUGUAAAAAUUAGGUGAAAAUGGUGGCCCAAUCUUCACGAAUUUGGAAAAAAAGAUGACAGCUUGGGUUUCCCAUAUCUAAAAUUUGUGAAGUUUGAGGGAGAAUUAAAGGAUUCGAGGCUUUUGUUAGUGUUAAGAACGGAGAGAGGAAGGUUGGGUGAAGUUUUUGGGUAGAUUGGAGCCACCUCCGCGGGGGUGACUGGUGGCAGUAACGGUGGUGCGGCAGGCGGUGGUUGAGAGAAACAGAGAGAGAGAUAGAGGAGGCUAGGGGUUGUAUUAUGUGAAAAAUUUCCAAAAAAAUCUGAUUUAAAAUGGCUUAUAUAUCUUAUAAGAGUUUCAACCAAGACUGUUGGAUCUUGAGCAUUGAAGGGAUAAAGUUGGAUUUUGC
rnacentral:lncRNA from 1 species